UACGUAGGGGGCAAGCGUUGUCCGGAAUCAUUGGGCGUAAAGAGCGUGUAGGCGGCUUGGUAAGUCCGCUGUGAAAGUCCAGGGCUCAACCCUGGAAAGCCGGUGGAAACUGUCAAGCUCGAGUCCGGAAGAGGCGAGUGGAAUUCCUGGUGUAGCGGUGAAAUGCGCAGAUAUCAGGAGGAACACCAAUGGCGAAGGCAGCUCGCUGGGACGGUACUGACGCUGAGACGCGAAAGCGUGGGGAGCAAACAGG
rnacentral:rRNA from 1 species